GUCAUGAAUAGGAAAGAGUUGUGUAUAUCCCAUUGGCAUACGUGGGCAAGGGGCGGGGUCUAUUUUCCGUGUCAUGGCUCCUCCCUGUAGACUUCAAGAAGUUCCAUAUCCGGAAGUGGGCUCCGUAGACUUUCGUUUGACUGUCGACACCUUUCUCGGGACUUUGGUUCGGCAUACACUGCUGGCUGUACCUAUUGUUGUCAUUACUACCAUGUGGGACACAGUAAGAUGCGUAAGAUGCCUUGUGAAUCUAAGGAGGCUGCCGUGGCUGGAGGAUGCUGUCGAAGGUGUAGGAGACUGCCGUGGCUGGAGGAGGCUGCCGAAGGUGGAGGAGGCUGCCGAAG